GAUGAACGCUGGCGGCGUGCCUAAUACAUGCAAGUCGAGCGAACGGACGAGAAGCUUGCUUCUCUGAUGUUAGCGGCGGACGGGUGAGUAACACGUGGAUAACCUACCUAUAGACUGGGAUAACUUCGGGAAACCGGAGCUAAUACCGGAUAAUAUUAUGAACCGCAUGGUUCAAAAGUGAAAGACGGUCUUGCUGUCACUUAUAGAUGGAUCCGCGCUGCCUUAGCUAGUUGGUAAGGUAACGGCUUACCAAGGCAACGAUGCAUAGCCGACCUGAGAGGGUGAUCGGCCACACUGGAACUGAGACACGGUCCAGACUCCUACGGGAGGCAGCAGUAGGGAAUCUUCCGCAAUGGGCGAAAGCCUGACGGAGCAACGCCGCGUGAGUGAUGAAGGUCUUCGGAUCGUAAAACUCUGUUAUUAGGGAAGAACAUAUGUGUAAGUAACUGUGCACAUCUUGACGGUACCUAAUCAGAAAGCCACGGCUAACUACGUG
rnacentral:rRNA from 1 species